GGCGGGAUGACAUUUGUGGUAGCAGUGCCCCUGGAUAUAAGGUCAGUGAAUUAGAUGCAAGCCAGACUUCAAAUUUGGAAUUUGGCACGGCUUGUAAUUGGUUCCUUUUCCUGCCAGGUGGGGAGAAUUGACCAUUAGAAGGCUCCAUGUUUCCUAAUUUCAGCGCCAUCACUUUUUGAAAUCUCUUCCUGCAUUGAAAUCAACUCUUGCCCCCCACUCUCCCCACUGACAUAUGGCUCCUUCUCUUCUGAUGUUUGAAACUUUUGUUGAAAUAUGUCCCUUUGGCUCUGUUAUCGUCACAGUUCAUGAGCUGUUUCCGAUAAUAAAAAAAAAUUCCACAAGGCUGUUGGGCACACACACAUAAAUCCCCAUGUUUUGCUCACACCCACAUAGAUAUAUAAUAUUCCAAGAGAAGUGUGCUGAAGCGAAGGCUGAUGCUGAUUACUAGGAGGGCAGGAGGGAGGGGAAGUAAAGUGAUCCCAAUAAAAAGCAAUAGUACAGAACUAAAAAGCAUAAAUACAGACAGGAAUCAAUGAAUAUUUGGCAAGCCAUUUUCCUUCUUAAAUAGGUGACAGAAUGCAUUACAGAAGUAUUUUCUCUCUCUGCCUCCGCUGAAGUGUACUAAAAGCCUACCUUAUUGGCGCUAACCCAAUAAGCUUAUUUUUAUAGAGGGAAAGAUAGACAUAAAUCUAGAAUAAUUCAUUGGGAGUUCUUUCUCAGAACCUUUAAAACAGAGAAGCAAUGUUUCUUUUUUGGUUUGGUUUCUCUCUCCCUCUCCCUCUCCCUCUCCCUCUCUCUCUCACUUACACAGCCAUAUUAGUGGGGGAGUUUUCCUUUAGCCAAGAGCAGCGAUGGCUGAAUGAAACUCUCAUGUACAGGGGCAGUCUACCUCUAAAUGCCAGGUUCCCAGGGGCAAAUAGCAGGAAGACUAUCACAUUCAUGUUCUGCUUCUGAGCAUCCAGAAGCAUCAGACUGGCUGUUAUUAAGACACAAUGGUGAACUAGAAAUAUAUUGACUUGACCAAGCAAGCCUUGCAAUCUUGUUUCAAUUAAACUAUCUCAUAAUCUAGGAUAAGUAGCCUAGUUUGGCAAUGCUGGUGCCUGCAUGAUGUCCAAGGGUGUGUGUGUGUGUGUGUGUGUGUGUGUGUGUGUGUGUUAUUCACUGUUUAUCCUCAUUUGCCCUUUGCAUUCUGCUUUCCAAUGGACAUUUUCCUCUCGGCAGGAGGGGGAGAAGGAACCAGGCAUGCCCAAUAAAGAGAUAACUUGUCAUUCCAUCUCAUCUGUGGCCAUUCAUCCAACAAAAUGUCUCUUGCACGUGAAGGAGCUGUGAAUGGAGGCAAUUGUUGUAUUAUUCAACACUAUGUACAGCAUCUUCCCCAUGUGCCGUUUAUGCCUUCUCUGUUUUUGAAACUGUCCCAAUCCUGGUUGCAUGGAAUUGCAGGGCUGAGCAGCAGUCAGGAGAAGAUCUUGCUCCCUUCCCAUCUGUUCCAAUUGUUUUCAAGUACUUCAAGGCAAAUGGCAAUAGGCCUGUGCAAAGAGUUCAAAUCAGAGCCAACAUGAGUGCCAGCAGAAUUGUGCUGGCAAGAACUGGAAGGAUGGUGGUUGCCCUCUCUAGAGUAGAUUCCCAGUAGAUUUUGGCAAAGUUGUUUUGUCUAAAUCUAUGCCCAACAAGCUGCUUGGCUAUUGUUUUGGUUCCAUUCAACUAUGAUUGAGAAUGUUCUUACACAAUAAGGAGUUAUGAAAGGGCAGGGGAAGACUUUGGAUAAUCCUUCAUGAAACAUGUCUUUGCUUUUAAAUGAAGAACAAGGUUUUAGAAAACAGCAUGCAUGACAUCUAAAAAAUUUAAAACGCAGCACUGCAGGUUUAGGUGCAAAUUCUGAGCAAUCUCAUCAAUGGCUUCUAAUGUUACUAUGCUCUAGUAAUUUGGCUUCUCCCAAACAGGAUCCACAUUGUGUAGACAAACACACACAUUGCUUAUGAGAGCCUGGAUGAUGUAGUGGGUGGAAUGGAAAGCAUCCACUGAGGAAAUCUGGGUUCAAGUCCCUGUUCAGCUAUGAUGGUUACUGGGUGUCCUUACUGGGUGUCCUUUGAUUAAAUGUUCUGAUAAGGGAUGAGGAACAGUAUUGUGGAGAGGGGAUUGGGCGCAUGGUCCUCUAACCCAGAUGACUUCAAUCCUGCUUUCUACAGGGGAACUUGGUCAAAGAGCUAGCUGCAUCUCUACCUACCCCACAGCUAAUGUCACAUGUGAAGUCACAAUGUGUGGCAGUUGGGAAUGGUUUGGGGGAAAUGGCCUUGUGGGCCAAAUUGGGAUCCAUGCUGGGCUAAAUUAGGCCUGUGGAUUGGAGGUUCUCCACCUCUGUUGUCAUGCAUAGAUCAAGGCUAGGGAAUCUGUGGCCGAGAUGUUGUUGAACUACAGCUCCUAUCAUCACUGACCAUCAGCCAUGCUGCCUGGGGCUGAUGAGAGUUUGAGAAAAGCAACAUCUUGAGGGCUGCUGGUUCCCUAGCCUGGUACAGAUCAUGCUUGUGCACUUUGGGCUCAUUAUGAAAGCAUAAUUACUCAUGUUAUCAGGGUUGCCGCUUGCACAUUGCUCCAAAGAAGAAAUCAAUCACCAAAGAAAGAGGGUGAAAGAGUAUACAGCAGGCAUAGGCAAACUCGGCCCUCCAGAUGUUUUGGGACUAUAACUCCCACCAUCCCUAGCUAACAAGACCAGUGGUCAGGGAUGAUGGGAAUUGUAGUCCCAAAACAUCUGGAGGGCCGAGUUUUCCUAUGCCUGGUAUACAGCAGAACUCAUCAUAAUGAAAUAGGCUGUGGCCAUGGGACCAGUGUGCUUGCUUAGUUUGCUUCCUAGAUGCUGUUGAUGUGAAACUCCAAGUCCCUUCUCUCCUUUCUUUCUCUUUACACCAGACUUCGUUCAAACAGCCCUUGAAACAAAGUCUCUGUUAAGUAGGGCACAUGAUCAGGCUAACAUGAAGCCAUUGUGAUGGUGUAGCCAUGUUGGAUGGAGAGAGCAACUUUGACCAAAUGUGUCUAGGACACACCUUUUAGUCUAAGGGGAUGUUCACAAGUUACAUUAGAUGAUGGUAUGGACUAUGUGCACAAACAAUUAAGUUGUACACACAUAUAGUAAUUCACAUGUAAUGUUUAAUGGGUGGUACUCUCUGUACCUGUGUACACAACAGUUCAACUGAACAGGUCAAAGAGUGUACACUCUUCCACACAAGCAUUUGUACAUGUGUAGAGACAGCUUGUUAUCGGUGUUCAGUAUAAUGUGUGAACAAGCUCUAAACUGCCUAAGAGGACGAUGAAAUACAGAUAACCCCUAUGUAAGUCACCUUGUGCUCUUCGGAGAAAGGAUGGGAUGCAAAUCUGAAAUAGAUAGAUAGAUAGAUAGAUGAUGAUAGAUAGAUAGAUAGAUAGAUAGAUAGAUAGAUAAUGUUUUCUGUGUUGAUUUUUAUUGUACAAGAUGCUUUACAAUGCUUAUUUUUUUAUUCUCACAGCUCCUAUGAUAUGGUUUGGGCUGAGAGACAAUGACUUGCCUUAAACCACCACAUAAGAUUGGCUGCUGAAUCCCCUCACUGAAAUGAAGAUGUUUAAGGGCAGCUUGUAUUGUAUUGUAUUGUGGACAUGUAUUGUGGCUCAGCUGUUGGUUUCUCGAAAGAAUGCCUCUCGAAAAGGCCUCAUCACCUUCGACAUCUUUUUCAUUCAUUCACAUCUGUCAUCAGGUUCUUUGCCAAGCAAGUGAGGGAAUGCAAAAUGUCACCAUGAGUUGUAUUGUAAAGGCACUUCAACACAUGAAGCUUCUGGGAUGAAAGCAUGCAAAAUGCUAAGUCAAGGCUUAAUGCUCACCAAGGCCAUAGUACUCUGUGAUGUCAUAGGCCUGAGGCAGUUAUUUCAGUUGGUACAGUUAUGGCAGUUAUUAACAGCCUGCCUCAGAGUUAGUCCAUCUGUAACAGUUUUUAUCUUAGAUACAAAUCUAUGUAAUAUGUAUUAGUACCAUAAGUAACAGCUGGCUUGUAUAUUUAAUCAAACAAGUGCAAGCACACUGAGCAAAAAUUAUUUAUUUAAACUUACUGUCUUGCAUAGUUUUUAUAGGAGGGAAAAGGGAACUAAUUAAAGAGUCAAAUGACCUGGGCUCUGUUCUGCAGAACUCUGUAAAAGGGAAUAAGAGUUUAAUUCCCACAAGGCCUAGGGCUGUUUGUCUGUAAUCAAAAUUUUAAACCUAUACUGGCCAAAAUGCUCAGCUCCCUCACCUGUACAAUACCCUCUCCUUUUCUUCUUCCCUAUUCACCUUUGUGUCAGCCAUUCACACAAAUAUAUACUUAAGACUCAGUGGUGAACAUCAGGCAUGAAUUGUGAAACUUAUAUUUAUUUGGGGGGGCUGAGAUGAUGGUGGUGAUGAUUUACUGGAUAAUUAUUAUUUUUUUAUCUGCCUUCCACCAUAAGGUCCCAGGGCAGGUAAAAGUACAAUAUAAAAAUACAUUAAAAUCAGUUAAAACAAUUUCAAAUAAGAAUAGUGUGUGUGUGUGUGUGUGUGUGUGUGUGUGUGUGUGUGUGUGUGUGAAGGUGCCAGACAUGCCUCUGCAGGGAGGGAUUCCACACCUUAAGGCAGUGAUGGCCAAACUUGGCCCUCCAGCUGUUUUGGGACUACAAUUCCCAUCAUCCCUGUCCACUGGUCCUGUUAGCUAGUGGUGAUGAGAGUUGUAGUCCAAAAACAGCUGGAGGGCCAAGUUUGGACAUCACUGCCUUAAGGAAUGCCCUCUCUCAGGUCACCCCAUUCUCGUGUUCUGACUGUGGCAGAACCUCCAAGACCUCAGCACCUAAGACAGUCUAGAGGUGGUCCUUCAGAUGUUUGAGACUUAAGACAUUUACGGCUUUAAACAUUAACAUUAACAGAAAUGAACAGACAGUCAAGUGCAGCUAUUUACAGUAAAAUGGGGUCUGUGUGAGUUCUAAAUGAAACCUGGAUUGAUUUGGGAGCAAGAUGAAGGCAGAAGCACACAUUGGGCUUAUCCACUCUUACUGUUUGCUCUGCAGUUUCUAGGCACAGGCCCAAACUUAAAGCUCUGUGUCUGAGUGCUCUUUAGAGCUGAAGCACAACAAAUGAGAAAUUGGGUUUUCUGUGCAUUUCUGUUUGCUCCAAUUCAGCAGUAAAGAGUGGGUUUUCACAGGGAAAGCACCAGAGAGAGAAACACACACUCAGACACAGAGCUUUAAAUUCCAGAGGAAAGGUAAGUGUAGAUAAACCCAUUAUGGUAGUGUUGUGAUUCCCUUUUGGGCUGGCACGGAAGAGGACUUAAAUCUUUCCCUAGUGCAAAUUUCCCACCAAGAAUCCAACCACCAGCUCUAUUUACACUAGUUGAGAUAAAAUAAUAAUAAUAAUAAUAAUAAUAUAAUAAUAAUAAUAAUAAUAAUAAUAAUAAUAAUAAUAAUAAUAAUUUAUUAUUUAUACCCCAUCCAUCUGGCUUGGUUUUCCCAGCCACUCUAUAAAAACACUUGCAGGAGGAAUUUUCAACAAUAAAAUGAGAGGAAAAUUUUCAACAAUAAAAUGAGAGGAAAAGCCAUUAGAGACCUCCUACACCAGUCACUCAAUUCAAAUUUCAGCCAUAACAACUGUUGGUUUUAUUUGCUGCCCCCUUUCCUUACUAAACAACCACAUUAUUCUGUCCCAAGUUGAUGAGAAGACACAAUCCUUUGACGUUCAUAGAGCAAUUCCUUAGUUUGAUGUGCAAACAUUUUUUCGUUUUGCUCCUGUCUAAUAUGGCUACUCUUUUGGAAGUUCUUAUGACAUUCAUCCUGCUCCCAUACAAUACUAAACCCAUGAGCUCAAAUGUAAACAAUCAAAAUCCAUGGCCCUUUGCCCUCCCCAGAGAGCUUUGUACUUUAAAAUCUCAAAAAACAGAAAGGGAUAGAGAAAGAACAAAAACUAUACUUUCCUUUUAUCACAGGAUUAUCAAGGCUUGGCUUGUGGCUUUAGUGCAUCUGAGAUUGGCAUCUUAAUGCUAAGCAGGUAAGAAUCAAGCUGUGUGGAGCAUUCACAUAUUGGAUUCAGCCAAGAGAGCCAUAUAGUUGUAGGUAAGCUAUUGACUUUUAAAUAUCUCUUAAUGUUACAUUCAUUUAGAAAUGUGCUCUUAAGCAAUUUCGCUGUAAUCCACCAGGCCUUCUAGUUUACAUUUAUCUGUAUAGGUAAAGAGGUUUUGUUUGCAUUUAGUAAUGAUUCAACCAUUAGUUUGAUUGAGCAAUGGCUAGGUUUUAGUUCCUCCUGGCAGUUAUUGGGCAAUUCAUUUGACCAUUUCUGAAAGUGUGGCUAUCACUCCGGCUUGUGCAAAGGUGAUGAUUGUGUGUCUUCUCGGAGGUGUACUGGAGGAGCAAUCAUUUCCUCCAAGGGUGCUGCAUGGAACAACAGACAGAGAAAAUGCCACAAUUAAAAAUCCAAGCUGCAGCAGAGUGGGAGAUGAAGAUUGGCAAGAUUUAUGAGGCAACCGCAUGAGAUAGAGAGAGAGAGAGAGUCCAGGCAAGAUGGCUUCACUGAUCUCACUGAUACCACUAAUUGAAACACUGCUGCUACCUAAUCACUGGAGACUUGGCAGGACCUUACAUAUCUAAACUGCCUUAAACUGGGAUAGGACACUGGUUCUUCCAGCUCAGUAUUUUCUAAAUGCUCACUGGCAGUGGCUCUUUGGGGUUUCAGAGAGAGGAAUUUGCCAUGACAGGUGCAUGACAUCUGCAGCUGAUGCAGGGUGAACCAAAAGAAUGGCCUCCCCUGAUUGGACUUGUGGGUGAGGCCCGCCCUGACUGGAGGGUCCAACAUGGCUGGAGGUGGAUGGCACCAGGUGGCCAUUCCCUUCCCCAGCCAUGCAAAACCAGCCAUGGUUGCACUGUGUGGCAAACACACCUUCCUCCUGAGCCCCAGGUGAGCAGCUAUUCCUACUUGAAGAUGCCAGAAAUUGAACCAGGAACUGCCUGCAUGAAGAACACAUGGUCCACCAAUAGCUACAGUCACUUCCUGAUCAUCCAGCCCCUGUGCUGAAGUGUAUUGUUGAGACACUUCCUGGCUCAGUGGAUUGAGUUGCAGGUGACCUGUAUUAUAUAGGAUUCCCAAGGUAAUGUUCGCCUAUAAUAUAGAGGACAUUUUCAGGAUAGAAACAUUAUGCGGUACUUAACAUUUCCCUGGGUGCUAUUUUUCUUGGCAAACCCUUCUCUCUAUUUCUGAGAGAAAAACAACCCGGGAUAAGGUAUUUUGCGGAAGAAAAGCAAUAUAUGAGAGAAGAGUUAACUAAACCCCUCCUACUUACUACUUUUCCACUACGAACACCCUCUCCACUUUGCAUUGGAAAUUCUGUGUUUUGUCACCAAGCAUCUAAUUCCAGCCUUAAUGGAUAUUUUUGAAAGUCAGUAAGUCACCCCAGGUGUUAUAUUGAGGAAAUGUAUGGAACUGUUGAAGGAAUAGAGACACAGAGAAGCAUAUGUACAAAAAAGGUUAAUAAAGUAAGACAUUUCUUUGCUUAUCUUUGUUAUAUUGUCAAGGCUUUAUUUUGUAGGCUUACAUGACUGGUAUUACAACUAUCCCUGUGACAAUAGAAGGUGGUAAAUUCAAUAAUGACUAUUCUUCCUGAAAUUGUUUUGCCCCACACAGGAGAUGUAGCAUUUAAAGAGGAGCAGAUACAAAAGUGUGACUUCUAUAGCGGCAUUUGGAAAAGCAAUUGCAAAGGCAGACAAUGUGGAAUGGAACAGAAUGUGUAUUAUCUUUUAAUAAGUUAGAAUGACAUAUGGACUCACUGAAAUUUCUUAUACACCUGGAGUUUCAUGGACGAAACAGGCUGUUUGGUGAGCUAUAGGUUUAUAUGUGCGCACCAAAGUCUACACUGGCAGUAAAGUUUGCGCUGGUGCACUGUUUCUAAGGUGAUUGUCAGGAAGGAGGAAGACCGUCUGUUAUCGCACAAAAAGACUAAUAUUCAAAUAAUAGGUAAAUAAUAAUAAUAAUAAUAAUAAUAAUAAUUUAUUUAUAUCCUCCCCUCCCCAGCCAAAGCUGGGCUCAGAGUGGCUAACAACAAUAAAAUUAACACAGAAUUCUAAAAUAAAUUCAUUCUAAAUCUUUUAGGAAGAACCUGCCUUAUACAGAACUAGACAAUUGGUCCAUCUAGCUCAGUAUUAUCUACUUUGCUCAGAACCACAAUACCUCAAGGACUGCCUUUCCCCAUAUGAACCAACCUGGACACAGUGAUCAUAAUUUGAGACCCUUAUUCAUGUGUCUCCUCUAUGAGAGGUCCAGAGAGUGGCAAUAUGAGAACGGGCCUUUUUUGCCAUGACUCCCCACUUGUGGGAUGCUCUCCCCAGGGAGGCUCGCCUAGUACCUUCGUUACAUAUCUUUAAGCAAAAACAUUCCUCUUCUCCCUGGCCUUUGACUAAUUAAGCAAUCUAUGGCUUUUUAAACUUGGGGGGUAUUUUUUGCUACUAUGGUAUUCAUUUUAUGGUUUUGUAUUGUAAACUGUAUAUAAUAAUAAUACUCUGACUAGCAGUGGUUCUUCACGUUUCAGAUUUUCAGAUAAGGGGCAUUCCAAGCCGUAUCUGGAGAUGUCAGGGACUGAACCAGAGAUAUUUUGUCUACAAAGCAGAUGAUGUACCACUCUUGGAAAGAUAAUGUUAUAGAAGACUCUUCUAACAUUUUAUAUAAAAGCACAGCUCCAAUAAUGCAUCACACUUACACCUCUACCUUACCCUUCUGCCUUUACACUGCCCCCCCCCCCAAUAUGAAGAACUAAAGCCCUUGGCAGACUAGCACAUUGCUUAGCAGAUCAUAGCUAUAACAGGCAUGUCCAACUUUCAAGGGACUACGAUCUACUCCACUAUAAAAAAACUGGCAGUGAUCUACCAAAGUUGUUGAGCUUUUCUUUAGGAAGCAAAAGUUUUCUCGGGGGGGGGGUGUCAGCAUCCCAUGAUCAACCCACAGUCAACAAUGGGGGGACCCCCCCCCCAUGAUCGACCAGUAGAUCGUGAUCAACCUGUUGGAUAUCCCUGCCCUAUAAUAGUACUAAGAGGAUUUUCCAUAGCACAAUUCCCUGUGUUUCCUAUCAGGCCACUAUGCUUAGUUCUUCCCUUUUGGAGCUGAUCCACUGAUACACAAGGGACUAAGUGGAGCAUAUUAAUUGUGGGCAGCUGUCUGAAUUUGUCCCCACUGAGUUCAUUGUGACAUGCUCCAGGUUAAUGUAUAAAGGAUUGCAGCCUUCGUCAAGAAAUGUCUGAAAAACAUAUUUUCUCCUUCUUGUCUCAAUGAUCUGGUUGUGACAUCACAUUACAUGACCAAGCCCCAGGCUGAUGCAGUCCCACUUUCCCUUCUCCGGCAUGUAAGGAGUGGAUCAGAAUGUAUCACUGUCAUUUUCAGUUGAGUACAGUUUAAUGUUUUGUCUGAAACCUUGUUGGCUUGUUUCAGUACGUUAUAGUUAAGAGCAGCAAUGUAAGGAGGCAUUGUUUUACAUUUUGCCCUGUAUUCAUCACAUGCAGCACUGCUUCUGCUCUGCUACAGAACAUCUUCCGCCCAACACUACAGUAUUCAUUUUACUGUCUGCUGUGGUGAGAUUAUGGGAAUUACAUAAAUUACACUGCCAUCACGUUAUUCUACCCCAUUCAUUUUGAUGCAAAGGAGACACAAUGCAAAUGGUGGCGGGAGGGAUAAUCAGUUAUGUAACAUUUGCACACCAAAAUCAAACCCUGAUCAAAUUCACUGGAUUGAUUUUUGUUCUGGAUAUGGGAUGAAUAAGAGAUCAUCAACAAUUUCUGUUCCCAUUUCUGUUUACAUCCAUAUUCUCCAACAUUCCUGGUUAAUCUAACCACAGUUUCCUCAGCUUCUCACAUAAUGAUAAGCUGCAGUUAAUUAAAAACAAAAGAAAACGUAUGUAAAAGCUUCUCAUCUCUUCCUUGUGUCCACACUGGAGGAUGCAGGUAGGCCUUUGCUCAUGCACAUCAGGCUAAAAUAUAAAACUCUGUCCAAACACAACCAAUGAAUGGUCUGCCAAAUUAAUUUCUGAUUUCCAGCCUUAAACUAUUUAACAAAGCAAACAGAUGUAUUCUUAUAUAAAAUUCUUAAUUGUAACCAG